rnacentral:lncRNA from 13 species
CUCAGUCACUUGUAAGCAGCGUUGUCAGAAACAUCGAAACACAGCAUUUGUAAUCGUGCUAGCAUAGUGACUGCAAGUUGCCACAAAAAACUUUUUAUCCAUGGCUUCGCUGGUCUUCGUCGUGAUCUGGUGUUAUAGAGAGACCUUGCCAUCUCCUCUAUCAUACACGGUGGGAAAGCUACACCACGACUCGUGCAAAUCGUGAGUGACUCAGCCGAAUAUCUGAACGACGAUGGCCGGACAAUUAUUAUAUUAGCUGAAUCUUAUAUUAUGUUGAUAAUGACUCCAAAAAGAGUCGAAACGUACCGUGUUUGUAAUUGACAUACAGAAUAAACUUUCUUGUUGCGCGAUAA